rnacentral:rRNA from 1 species
AAUGAGAGUUGUGCUAAGGUAGCAUAAUAAUUUGAUUUUUAAUUGAAAUCUGGGAUGAAAGGGGCAAUGAAAUUAUAACUUUUUUUAUAAUAAAUUAAAAUUUUAUUUACAAGUGAAAAAGCUUGUAUGAUUUUAUAAGACGAGAAGACCCCAAGAAUUGUUGUUAAUAUAAGGUUAUAAGAUCUUAAUUAGACUUAGCUGGGGCGGCUUGUAAGUAUAAUAACCUUACAAAUAAGAAACUACCAUAGGAUUAGUUUGAAGUUUACAUAAUUAUUAGAAAAUUACCUUGGGGAUAACAGCGUAAUUUAAAUUUAAAGUUCAUAUAAAAAUUAAAGUUUGCGACCUCGAUGUUGGAUUAAGAAAAUAGUAAAGCAGCAUUUACAAAUAGGGUCUGUUCGACCUGUAUUUCUUACAUGAUCUGAGUUC